GAGUAAAUAACUAAAAUAUUUUUAUGUA
rnacentral:rRNA from 1 species